rnacentral:lncRNA from 1 species
AUGUCGGAGUUAGUUAUGAAUAAAGAAGAGAAAUUGAUCAAAUCGGAAAAUACAAUGAAGUUGCAACACUUCCAUCAUGAAGUUGCAACGCUCCGACGAAAGGUGGCGUACGAGCAGAGCGGAGUGAAGUCGGGGGAGUCACUACAGAGUCGUCGUGUCGAGCGGACGUGCACUGCCGUUAUAGUCGGACAGUCUACCGCGAACCAUCGUCGUGAACGGACGUGUCGAAUAAUUACGAUCGGAACGUGGAGUGAUAUAGUCGCUCACCUAUAACUUGUAGGGACGUCAAGAAAGUGUGAUCGGAAAAGAGUACCUCGCACGUACGUUCACAUGUCCCGAUGAUUCGGUCCGAAUAUAGGAACCAUGGGUGGUGGAGGGCAAGUAGAGGGCGAGUAGCCCCUUCGCGCGUCCUUAUGCGCGCUAGAUAACGAGAGACUGUGUAACCGUUACGAAUACCGUGACGUUGCCGUGAGUGUGUACCUUAUGCUGUGACUUUAUUUAAUCGUGAUACAAAAACUAUGUGGAAGUAAAUAAAAUGAUUGUGAUACUGAUGACGGCCAUUAUUGUCUUCUAACGCCCACUCUUCUAACGCCCACCCUCCAUUAUGAUGAUGAUGAUGAUGAUGAUGAUGAUGAUGAUGUUACGCGACCGACCCCACUGCUACGACAUCAGAAGCGGGAUUAGUGGACUCGGAUGAAGACAACGUGAUGUGACGUUCACAGCAAGACAAUGCAAGUUUCGAUUAUCACAAUCAGAAGAAGAUUAUGAUGAUUAUCACAUUCGUGUGACCACGUGAUGAAGAUGUAGUGUCAUGCCUGAAUUUGGAGAUGGACCUGACUUUGAAGUGACCUCGACCUUGUUAAUGACCGGCAUCACUACAUGCCGUAAGAUAUGAUGGCGUGAACAUCAACAAUAUUUCCAUAAUGUGUGCAGUCGUGUUUGGAAAUUAUGGUACCUCAACUUGGAAACUGUUAUAACGGUGAGUCGUUUUCAUACUGGAACCUUAUUGUUUUUUUACUUCAUUGCUAUGUGAAUUUUCGUUUCUAAUAAUGAGGAAAUUGAUUUAAAAUUAACUUGGAAAUUACUAUUUCCCUUUGUUUAAAAAGAAAAUUGACGAGACAUAUUGUGUCAAUCCGUGUCAAUCAUACCGCGUUUUCCAAUCUGUUUUCAUCAUUGUCAAAUCUUUGUAUUUUGGUCUAAAAAUAUUUCGAAUUGGUGUAGACACGCUUAACCUGCGUGAUUAAAGUUGUAUUUUCUCACUCCAAGCAAAAAGAAAUUAAUCAUGACAUGAUAAUUGAGUCUCGUUAAAUAACGUGUUUUGUAAUCUACCGUCAUUCAUCAAAUCUUUCAAUAUUCAACAUUCUUUAUUGUAAUCUUUUUAAACUGAUUGAAAGAAAGUCAUGUGAAUACGAUAAUACAGUGAAUUCUUUUGUUUCAUGUCAUAACUUGGUUCGGCAAUUGGUGGAUUGCAAGCGAGGAUGAAAAUGGCGCGGGCUGAGCCGUAGCCGUGUAAAGUGACGACAUCAUGGCAGCACGUUGUAUACCAGCCGGACUUACUGCGCUGGUGCUGUUGACGACCUAAACUAUGUCACAAGACCAGUGGUUGAUCUUUUAUUGGAAAUUCUUAUAAGUCCUGGUGAGUCGUAUCUGUUUUACCUGAUUUGAAAUAUGGGAAGUUGUAAUAAGAUACAAACGAACUUAGUGCAGAAAGUUCUCUUUUACUUUAGUUAAAUUGGAAAUUGUAAUGAAGUGAAGUAAACAUUGCGAAGUAAAAUUAUUUGGAUCAUGAUUAAAUGAAAUAGGCUUAGAAAAUGCCCGAAACAGAGUAAAUCAUUAGUGAGAAAAUUGGAGCAAAACAUUCUAAAUGAUGUUCAUACCAAAUCAGUAAUUGUGUAAGUGCGGUAAUAUUUCCUCAAGGUGUUGGUCGUUACAUUGUGACUUUAUGACUUGUGUGUGAGAGAGCCAGGGUGCUCUGUCGUUUUGUGGUCGUGGACCAAGGUGGCCAUCCCGGGAGGGGAUGUUGUGACUUAUGACUGUUUUGUAGCGUAACCGAAGUUUGGGGAGGAAUAUUACAGCCUGUUGUGCUUUGCAGUAGAUGUGUAAUGUUGGUUGAUUUAAUUGAGCAAUGAAAGCUAUGAUUGACCUGUUUCGGAGCAACUCUGAUAGGAAGCUGCGCACUUGUAGUGUUCGGGGCUGCAGCCACUUUUGUGCUGCUCGUCUUAGAAACUACAGGUAUGCGGUCGAAGCCCGGAUUUCAUGUUGACUUUGUAUUUGGCCAUGACAUUGUACCUGAAUCUAAGUCAUGUUGAACUUCGGUAGAAUUAGUCAAACGAAUUAGAAAUUAGUGAUGUAGAAGAAAUUGUGUAACCCAUUGACCUGUUUCGGAGCAACUCUGGUAGGGAGCUGCGCACUUGUAGUGUUCGGGGCUGCAGCCACUUUUGUGCUGCUCGUCUUAGAAACUACAGGUAUGCGGUCGAGGCCAGGAUGUCAUGUUGACUUUGUAUUUGGUCAUGACAUUGUACCUGAAUCUAAGUCAAGUUGACCUCCGGUAGAAUUAGUCGAACUGCAUAAAUUAGAAAUUAGUGAUAUAAAAGAAAUUGUGUAACGCAUUGACCACUAUUCUACCAACUAAAAUGUAAAGUUUGUGUGCUAGCUGUGUUGAGAUAUCGUCACUUGGUGUAAGUGGCAUGAGUUGCUGUCGCUCGAUUUAGGUGGCAGCAACGACUGUGUUGAGAUAUCGUCACUUGGUGUAAGUGGCAUGAGUUGCUACCGCUCGAUUUAGGUGGUAGUGACGCCUGGUUGUGAGAUAUCGUUACUCAGCUGAUUUUAGUGUAAAGAGUAAUUGGAUUUUCAAGUUUGGUUGUUUAUGUGUGAAUACUGGUCAAUGGUCCGUGUAUUGUUAGUUGAUGAUUUAUCAUGAUGUAAUGUGAGCUCAUGUAGAGUCAAAAGUAGAGCUAAUGUAGAGUCAAAAGUAGAGCUCAUGUAGAGUCAAAAGUAGAGCUCAUGUAGAGUCACAAGUAGAGCUCAUGUAGAGUCACAAGUAGAGCUCAUGUAGAGUCCUUUAUAGAGUCUCAUGUCAGGUCAGGAAUGACCGAGCGACCUUGGAUACUGUGCUGUGGUAUAUUGUUUCAGAUUAACACACGAGGACGUGUGUCACGCAGGAUGGCCGUGUCGGAGUUAGUUAUGAAUAAAGAAGAGAAAUUGAUCAAAUCGGAAAAUACAAUGAAGUUGCAACACUUCCAUCAUGAAGUUGCAACGCUCCGACGAAAGGUGGCGUACGAGCAGAGCGGAGUGAAGUCGGGGGAGUCACUACAGAGUCGUCGUGUCGAGCGGACGUGCACUGCCGUUAUAGUCGGACAGUCUACCGCGAACCAUCGUCGUGAACGGACGUGUCGAAUAAUUACGAUCGGAACGUGGAGUGAUAUAGUCGCUCACCUAUAACUUGUAGGGACGUCAAGAAAGUGUGAUCGGAAAAGAGUACCUCGCACGUACGUUCACAUGUCCCGAUGAUUCGGUCCGAAUAUAGGAACCAUGGGUGGUGGAGGGCAAGUAGAGGGCGAGUAGCCCCUUCGCGCGUCCUUAUGCGCGCUAGAUAACGAGAGACUGUGUAACCGUUACGAAUACCGUGACGUUGCCGUGAGUGUGUACCUUAUGCUGUGACUUUAUUUAAUCGUGAUACAAAAACUAUGUGGAAGUAAAUAAAAUGAUUGUGAUACUGA